AUGCAAUUUUUUCAGGAAGGGUUGUUGUUGGCAGAGCAAUAAUGGUUGCCAAAUAGAGACCUGGUGCUGAAAGAAUUUGAGUUCUCUCGCAAAAGUUUGAUCACAAUCAUGAACUUUUCUUUGAUAUGUUUUUUGGUCAUACUAGCAAUUACUUGGGAAGAAUCCUGGAGCCAGUAGAAAAGUUGAAGGGGAGAUCAAGGAGCCGGAGUCUAAAGGUAAUUAUUCUUCUUUGCAAACAUAUGCUUGUUUCUUUGGCAUUGAAAUGCCGUAGUUUUUUCUUAUUGGAUUCAUUGUGACUAAAAGAACUUUUAUUUUGAGUGCCCCAUACUCCAA